CAGUAGCCGCGGGAAUACGAAGGGGGCUAGCGUUGUUCGGAAUCACUGGGCGUAAAGGGUGCGUAGGCGGAUUCUUAAGUCAGGGGUGAAAUCCCGAGGCUCAACCUCGGAACUGCCUUUGAUACUGGGGAUCUUGAGUCCGGAAGAGGUGAGUGGAACUGCGAGUGUAGAGGUGAAAUUCGUAGAUAUUCGCAAGAACACCGGUGGCGAAGGCGGCUCACUGGUCCGGAACUGACGCUGAGGCACGACAGCGUGGGGAGCAAACAGGAUUAGAUACCCCCGUAGUCCCUGUCUCUUAUAA
rnacentral:rRNA from 1 species